UGGGGAAUUUUGGACAAUGGGCGAAAGCCUGAUCCAGCAAUGCCGCGUGUGUGAAGAAGGCCUUCGGGUUGUAAAGCACUUUUGUCCGGAAAGAAAUCCUUGGCUCUAAUACAGUCGGGGGAUGACGGUACCGGAAGAAUAAGCACCGGCUAACUACGUGCCAGCAGCCGCGGUAAUACGUAGGGUGCAAGCGUUAAUCGGAAUUACUGGGCGUAAAGCGUGCGCAGGCGGUUUGCUAAGACCGAUGUGAAAUCCCCGGGCUCAACCUGGGAACUGCAUUGGUGACUGGCAGGCUAGAGUAUGGCAGAGGGGGGUAGAAUUCCACGUGUAGCAGUGAAAUGCGUAGAGAUGUGGAGGAAUACCGAUGGCGAAGGCAGCCCCCUGGGGCCAAAUACUGACGCUCAUGCACGAAAAGCGUGGGGGAGCAAACAGGAUUAGAUACCCUGGUAGUCCACGCCCUAAAACGAUGUCAACUAGUUGUUGGGGGAUUCAUUUUCCUUAGUAACGUAGCUAACGCGUGAAGUUGACCGCCUGGGGAGUACGGUCGCAAGAUUAAAACUCAAAUGAAUUGACGGGGUCAUAGCUGUUUCCU
rnacentral:rRNA from 1 species